rnacentral:rRNA from 1 species
GGUGAACGCUGGCGGUAGGCCUAACACAUGCAAGUCGAACGGCAGCACAGUAAGAGCUUGCUCUUACGGGUGGCGAGUGGCGGACGGGUGAGGAAUACAUCGGAAUCUACUUUUUCGUGGGGGAUAACGUAGGGAAACUUACGCUAAUACCGCAUACGACCUACGGGUGAAAGCAGGGGAUCUUCGGACCUUGCGCGAUUGAAUGAGCCGAUGUCGGAUUAGCUAGUUGGCGGGGUAAAGGCCCACCAAGGCGACGAUCCGUAGCCGGUCUGAGAGGAUGAUCAGCCACACUGGAACUGAGACACGGUCCAGACUCCUACGGGAGGCAGCAGUGGGGAAUAUUGGACAAUGGGCGCAAGCCUGAUCCAGCCAUACCGCGUGGGUGAAGAAGGCCUUCGGGUUGUAAAGCCCUUUUGUUGGGAAAGAAAAGCAGCAGGUUAAUACCCCGCUGUUCUGACGGUACCCAAAGAAUAAGCACCGGCUAACUUCGUG